AGUGAACGCUGGCGGCAGGCCUAACACAUGCAAGUCGAGCGGCAGCACGGCAAUAGCAAUAUUGUGGGUGGCGAGCGGCGGACGGGUGAGGAAUGCAUCGGGAUCUACCCUGUCGUGGGGGACAACGUAGGGAAACUUACGCUAAUACCGCAUGAUCUGGAGACAGCAAAGCCGGGGACCCGCGAGGGCCUGGCGCGAUGGGAUGAGCCGAUGUCCGAUUAGCUAGUUGGCGGGGUAAAGGCCCACCAAGGCGACGAUCGGUAGCUGGUCUGAGAGGACGACCAGCCACACUGGAACUGAGACACGGUCCAGACUCCUACGGGAGGCAGCAGUGGGGAAUAUUGGACAAUGGGGGCAACCCUGAUCCAGCCAUGCCGCGUGAGUGAAGAAGGCCCUCGGGUUGUAAAGCUCUUUUGUCCGGAAAGAAAAGCAAUCGGUUAAUACCCGGUUGUUCUGACGGUACCGGAAGAAUAAGCACCGGCUAACUUCGUGCCAGCAG
rnacentral:rRNA from 1 species